GGUAGUAUAGCUCAGAGGUAGAGCACAUGCUUGGUGGGCUCAGGGUCCUGGAUUCAAUCCCCAGUGCCUCCG
rnacentral:tRNA from 1 species